UACAGAGGGUGCGAGCGUUGUCCGGAAUCACUGGGCGUAAAGGGCGCGUAGGCGGCCUGAUAAGUAGGGGGUGAAAUCUUGCGGCUCAACCGCAAGGCUGCCUUCUAAACUGUCAGGCUGGAGCACGGUAGAGGCAGAUGGAAUUCCCGGUGUAGCGGUGGAAUGCGUAGAGAUCGGGAAGAGCACCAGUGGCGAAGGCGGUCUGCUGGGCCGUUGCUGACGCUGAGGCGCGACAGCGUGGGGAGCAAACAGG
rnacentral:rRNA from 1 species